ensembl:lncRNA
AGAAGUCGAAGGGACCCAAUCUCCGAGGAGUUGAGAUCGGUCUCGCUGGGGGCCCACUCUCACCAUCACCUCCAAAGGUCAUGAGCUCAGAUCUCAAACUGCACUUUUUAAAUUUCAAGAUACCAGUCCGAAGGACAAAGCACUGAGUUCUAGAAAGAGAUAACUUAAACUCGAUGGCUGCUACCUAGAUUCAUUUGGUUCGGCAAAUGUUCAUUGAAGGCAGUCUUUUCUGUGCUAACCACUGGAAACCAAAAGAUGAAUAAGAGAAGGCCCUGCCCUCGUGGGAAUGGCUCCCACUCCCUAAUCCGUGGAACCUGUGAACGUGUUAUAUAACAUGGCAAAAGGGACUUUGCAGAUGUAAUUAAAGUUGCAGACCUUAAAAUAGAGAGAUUAUCCUGGAUUGUGUGGGUGGUCCAAUAUAAUACAUGAGUUCUUAGAAGCAGAGAAUUUGCUUAGGUUAUAAGCAGAAGGGAUGUGACGGAAAGAAAAAUCAGAGAGAUUCAAAGCAUGAGAGGGGGUCAACAAGCUCAAAGAUCAAGGGGACAAUAUGACAAGGAAUGCAGGUGACCUUCAGGAGCUGAGAGCCUCUGACUGACAGCCAG